GAUCCUUAGGUCGCUGGUUCGAU
rnacentral:piRNA from 1 species